rnacentral:lncRNA from 1 species
GGGUUAGAAACCCCAGACUUUCUGAUCAGCAGGUCUGGAACGGAGCUUAAGAUUUUGCACUUCUAACAAGUUGCCAAUUGGAUACCUCCAGUGAUCCAGGGCUCACGUGUGGGGACCACUGCUCUGUGCUAAACAGCUUCCAGGCUGCUGAGCCUCUAAGGGAAGAGGAGUUGACAAACCUCAGCUGGAAGGUGUGUCCGGAGGACCUGGGCAUCAUGGUGCACACAUUGUUCACAGCUCUGUAGCCUGGAAGAACAGCGAGUUACAGGCUGAGGUUUCCAACCAGGGAUCAUUCUCUUAUUGGAAUGAGACAUUGCCAUGAUGGCUGUCCAAACAACCUGGCACCUGUGGUCAAAGACAACUUCAGGGCAAAGUUCAUACCUUCCGAGUUCUAUGCUUCUGGGACAUUCCAGAUACAGCUGGUGGAGAGAAUGAAAAGGGAUUUACUGCCAGCAGCAGGACUGAUCUUUCAGAAAAGAAAUCUAGAAGAUUUGUGAAAGAAUAAGGUUUAACUUGGAUCAUCAUUUUUGCCUCUGAAAAUCAUGGAUCCGCUUCCAGCUGCCAACAAGACAACACUCUGAGAAGCGCUCUCUUGCAGUACAGUGCCGACCACACUGAAUGAAUGGACCAGACCAUACGAUGUGAAGAAUGGGGUUGGCAGGAUGAACCAUGCCAUUCUCCAGAGGAGUAAACUGAUCUCCUAAAAGCCGGGGAACUUUCUAUGCAAAUUAAGGUCACUCAAACUGAGGACGAGAGAACAUGUAAGCAGGAGGAAGCUGCAAGUUAGGGUGUCAGGCUGUGUCACAUGACCAUCUGUAAGCCAAAGGAUGCUGGGAAAUAAAUUCUUAAUUUUUUUAGUCUUGAGUGAAAGGAAAGAGGAGGGGCAGGUGCCUGGGAGGAGACAGAGGGACUAUAGUAUUAUGUUGGUUUCCUUUAUGCUCCUGAAACAAAACACCUUGGCCAGAAGCAACUUGUGGUGAGGAAAGGCUUGUAAGUCCAGGUCACGGUCCGCCUUUAAAGGGAGUCAAUGCAGGAAACUGAGGCAGGUUAACUUGCUAUUGCACACAGCAUUACUUCUGACCAAGGAACUCCCUUCACAGCCGUGUUGGUUAAUUUCAGGUCAACUUGACACACGCUAGCAUCAUUUGGGAAGAGGGUCUCUCAAUGGCAAAAAUGCUUCCGAUGAUUUGCCUGUGGACAAGUCUAAAGUACUUUCUUGACUUAUGAUUUAUAUGGGUGGGCUCAGUCCACUGCAGGUAGUACCACCCUACACAGAUUGACCAGGAUGCUAUAUGAAAGCAAGCUGAGUGAGUCAGUAAGCAGCACUCCCCCACGGCCUCUGUAUCAGUUCCUGUCUCCAGUUCCCUGGAUGAUCGACUACGAGCUUUUUCUUCUCCACCUUGCUUUGUGUGGCGGUAUUUUAUUACAGCAAUAGACCCAUAGCUAAGACAAUAAUCAAGAAGGACAGCAGGGACCAUGGAGGAUGUCACCUGCUACCCAGCUGCCAAGCUGGCUUAUGCUCGGCUAGCUCUCUCAUACAGUCAGGGAGCACCCACCUAGAGAUGGUACUACCCACUGUUGGACUGGACCCUCCUACAAUGAUUAAAAAUGAAGACAAGCUUCAAAGACAUACCCACAGGCUAAUCUGAUCUGGACAAUGGCUCAAGUGAGGGUCUCCUCUCAGGUGACUCUUAGCUAUAACAGGUUGACAGUUUAACCUAACCAGGUCAAGUAUCUGCUAUCAACACGCCAUGGAAAAGAAAGGGGGGAGAGGAGUAGGCAGGAAAGAAAGGGAGAGGAGAGAAAAGGGGGUCAACAGGGCGGUUGUGUGUGGGUGGGAGAGAUGGGAUACAGGUAUCUGAAAUUUCAUUCCAGCUCUGCCAUUUCCUAGCUAUGUGACUGACCGUGAGAAAACUAUUCACAUGUCAAGGCCUCAGUUUUCUUAUCAGUGCAGUGGGAAUAUGUGGCAUACAGGGAAGCUAUGAAGUGAAAGUAACCGAUCCUAAUCCAGCUUGUAGUGAUCAUUCCAGGUCAUGAACCCUGACCGCUGCUGUUCUUACUGGCCCAGUGGCUACUAGCAAUCUCUAGUACUGCCGUAUAUAAAAGUCUUCUGUUUAGCUCAGUCCCUCAAUCAACACCAAAUUUCACUGACUUUUCUUUUACAAUCCCCUUCUUUCUCUUUGCUUCUGAUCAUGUGUUACUAAAAUAGCAUUCCAAACAUACAUGCAGAAUUGUCUAUAACCCUGAGAUCUCAUCCAUGCAGGCAACCAACAAAGAUUUACUAAACACCUGCUAUGUGCCAGACACCCUGCUAAGCACCAUAGAUAUGGGGUUGAUCAAACAGAGACCAAAUUCCUUUCUCCAUAAGGUGGACAGUUGGAUUCAUGAGGCAGACACUUCACAAAUAAUCGCAAGCAUGAAAGCAUAAUUAAAACUUUGAUUGAUAUAUUAAAGAAAAAACCGACAAUGGGGAGUUUGCUCUUUUAAGAACAUUAAUGCUUCUAAAAGUUCCAGAAGUUGAGUAAUUCUGAAACAUCUAUAAAAGUCACGCUGAAAGAACUUGAAACCCUUUGCCUUCAUUUGCAUGAAGGAUGUUCGGAAAAUUAAUUGCCGUGCCUUGUCCGGAAUGUGGGUCUUUGUCUGAGAGUUGUAUUUCCUGCAAUUGAAAAUUAAUGUAAGAUGUUGGCUCCCCUGCAAGGGAGAAAUGGCCUGU